AAUCAACGCUGGCGGCGUGCCUAACACAUGCAAGUCGAGCGAGAAAAGGGGGGCAACUCCCUGAGUACAGCGGCGCACGGGUGAGUAACACGUGGGUAAUCUGCCCUGGAGUGGGGAAUA
rnacentral:rRNA from 1 species